AAGUAAAGAAGUUAGCCAAAGAACGUCGCAUCCUUGCGACAAUGGCUAACUGACCUGCAUCACGCAGG
rfam:Sporosarcina psychrophila strain DSM 6497, complete genome.